rnacentral:RNase_P_RNA from 1 species
AACAGCAGUUGUUCCGUCGCUGCUCCGCAAGGAGGAGAGGAAAGUCCGGGCAACACAGAGCGCCGUGCUUCCUAACAGGAAGGGGCUUCGAUGAAGUCACGGAAAGUGCCACAGAAAAGAUACCGCCUGCGUGCAGGUAAGGGUGAAAACGCGAGGUAAGAGCUCACGACGCCGUCAGUGAUGCCGGUGAUGGUAAACCCCACGGGUUGAAAAACCAAAUAAACCGAGGCUUGAGGGUGGCUCGCCCGACUCGGAGGGUAGGUCGAUUGAGCCGGCUGGUGACAGACGGCCUAGAUAAAUGACGGAACUCGACAGAACCCGGCUUACAGACUGCUGUUUUUU